UAGCACAGUGGUUAAAGCACUUGGCUCCUAACCAGAAGGUCAGUGGUUCGAACCCACU
rnacentral:tRNA from 1 species